AGGGCACCACCAGGAGUGGAGCCUGCGGCUUAAUUUGACUCAACACGGGAAAACUCACCCGGCCCGGACACCGUAAGGAUUGACAGAUUGAGAGCUCUUUCUUGAUUCGGUGGUUGGUGGUGCAUGGCCGUUCUUAGUUGGUGGAGCGAUUUGUCUGGUUUAUUCCGAUAACGAACGAGACUCUGGCCUACUAAAUAGUGACAGGAUUAUUACUGUCUUGGAUACUUCUUAGAGGGACAAGUGGUUUUCAGCCACACGAAAUUGAGCAAUAACAGGUCUGCGAUGCCCUUAGAUGUCCGGGGCUGCACGCGCGCUACACUGAAGGAAUCAGCGUGCUAAAACCAUUGUCGAAAGGCAUUGGUAAACCCAUUAAAAUCCUACGUGAUUGGGAUCGGGAAUUGCAAUUAUUUCCCUUGAACGAGGAAUUCCCAGUAAGUGUGGGUCAUAAGCUCGCGUUGAUUACGUCCCUGCCCUUUGUACACACCGCCCGUCGCUGCCCGGGACUGAGCCGUUUCGAGA
rnacentral:rRNA from 1 species